rnacentral:rRNA from 1 species
UACGUAGGGUGCAAGCGUUGUCCGGAAUUAUUGGGCGUAAAGAGCUCGUAGGCGGUUUGUUGCGUCGGCUGUGAAAUCCCGAGGCUCAACCUCGGGUCUGCAGUCGAUACGAGCAAACUAGAGUGUUGCAGGGGAGACUGGAAUUCCUGGUGUAGCGGUGAAAUGCGCAGAUAUCAGGAGGAACACCGGUGGCGAAGGCGGUUCUCUGGGCCUUACCUGACGCUGAGGAGCGAAAGCGUGGGGAGCGAACAGG